rnacentral:rRNA from 1 species
CACGGAGUUAGCCGAUGCUUAUUCAUAUGGUACCGUCAUCAACGUACACGUACGCCUUAUUCUUCCCAUAUAAAAGCAGUUUACAACCCAUAAGGCAUUCUUCCUGCACGCGGCAUGGCUGGUUCAGUCUUCCGACCCUUGACCAAUAUUCCUCACUGCUGCCUCCCGUAGGAGUCUGGUCCCUGUCUCAGUACCAGUGUGGGGGAUCUCCCUCUCAGGACCCCUACCUAUCGUAGCCUUGGGGUGCCGUUACCACUCCAACUAGCUAAUAGGACGCAUGCCCAUCUUUCACCACCGCAGUUUAAUUAUCAAAUGAUGCCAUCUAAUAAUAUUAUGGGGUAUUAAUCCAAAUUUCUUCGGGCUAUCCCCCUGUCGAAAGGUAGGUUGCAUACGCGUUACGCACCCGUGCGCCGGUUCUGCCCCCGAAAGGGCUUCUCCCUCGACUUGCAUGUGUUAGCCUGCCGCUAGCGUUCAUCCUGAGCCAGGAUCAAACUCU